UGAUUCUUUGUUUAAUUUUUUUUUUUUUUUUUUUUUUUUUUUUUUGUUUUUUUUUUUUUUUUUUUUUUUUUUAUUACUUUUCAGCGAGCGUUGGAACUUUUAGCAGCAGAGUUACAUUUGUACAACGAUGAAUUCCCUUUUCACGCGCUGCGCGUUUCAUCGCACAAUGAUCACAGUAGGAUGUUGUUCGUUUGGGCAUAGUAGUUUCGCUUGAAAACGCUUCCACGCAAACAAGAGCGUAUGAACUUUGUUGCGCUUCGAUUUAAGGCCAUGAAACGAACAAUUUGCAAG
rnacentral:misc_RNA from 1 species